rnacentral:lncRNA from 1 species
GCAAGCUCGCUCGAGCUCGGCUCGUUGACAGCCCUAGCGCCGAUGUCGUUGGCGGCGCCCGCGGAGACCGGGAGCAAGGCCACCGUCCGCCACCGCUCGCCCUUCUCCUUGCAGGCUUGCAGUGUAUGGGAGAGGGAGAGAGGGGAUAGAGAGAAGAGGGAGGCUGACAUGUAGGACCACAUGGGCACUACCUUUUUAAAUUAUUUUUACAUGUAUCUGACAUGUGGGUCCUACGGUUUUUAUUAUUUUUUCGGGAUAAAAUUACCACGUAAGCGCCACGUCAACGCCACGUGGGAUGAAGACCUAGUCAAAGGAGCCACGUCGGCCAAAACCGCCCUCCAUACUGCCGAGGGACCUCGUUUACCCGGUUUCGUAAGUUGGGGGACGGGUCGUACCCGGUCUUGCGGUCAAGGGACGAAAAUCGGACUGACCGACAAAUAGAGGGACCUAAAGUGAACUUAUUUCCUCAGCAGGUAGUCAAUGGUAGAGUUGGGCUGUAAAUACUCGGCCCAUCUCGAUGAUGCUGGAGGUGGUGCUCGUUCAUUUCCUUAUAGGCUUCAUGGAUUAAAUCACAGGAUCGUUGAUGGACUAAUUAUAGGCCCGCCGGAGCCAGCCCAGCCGUAGAGUAGAGGCCACCGAGCCGGCACUGGGGCGGCCCAUCCGAGGUGGAGGCCGUUCCUCCCGAAUUCCCGAUCCGCUACUGAGGUGGCGGAGAUGUUGCAGGCGAAGGCGCGGCGAGGCAGGAGAGCGAGCGGCCGCCGGCCAGGACGUGGAGGCCGGAUCGAGGAUGCAGGCGGUGGCGGUUAAGCAGGGAGCAGACGGCAUCAAGGGAAGAAGCGCGGCAGGUCUCUGUUGAACUUGCACACCUCUCAAAGGUGCAGUGCCUAUCUAAUCUCUAAUACCGAUUAUAGGGUUCUAACCCUAGCCAAAGAUUGGGCCACGUGGCGUCUCAGAAAUCAAGUUUUGCGCCUCUGAAAAUAUGCCACGUGUCUCCUUUCUCUCCUCCCCCACCGUUCGAUCGAGUAUCGACGGUUAAAUUUCGCUGCGAUGGACCUCUUUAUAAAACUGAGGUUUGAAAAAAACUGACCUACCUACUAAAGACGGUAGGGGGUCUUGGAAAUGUAGGCCGACACAGGUCGUAGCUGCAGUGCCGAAGUACCUGGCACCCCCACCCCCACCCCCAUCCCCAUGCAUGCGCUGCAUGCAAACCUCGGGUGAUUAUCCAUCUAAUCCAUACAAUUAGCUCAUUAAUUAGUUGCAAGUUGAGCCUAUAUCUAGCUGUCCACCUGAGUUAAUUAACAUAUCAAAGCGAUGUGGUUGCAAGUCUCCAAAACUAAAAAGGAUGAAUAGAAAUGAUGUCGUGUCAUUCAAGUAUUGAGUAAAGUUGGUGCUAUUUAGUGACAUAGUUUAAAAUUGGUUCUUUUUAUGCUAUAUUAAGGGUAUGUUCUGAUUGUAGCCAAAAUAAACCUUACCAAAUUUUGGCAUUGGCGGCAAGUUGAUAAUAUUCCCAAAAUUUUGGCAGGAUUUCUUAUGUAUUUACCAAAGUUUGGCAACAAACUAAACGUAGGCACUUUUUUAACAACUUUACCCAAAAAAUGGUAUGGCUAAAAAUGGCAUAAAUCUGAACAGCCCCUAAAGUACAUUCAGACUCGGACAUACACUCUCCAUCCUAAAAUAAGUUCAAUUUUAUAUAUGAAUCUAGAAGAAUGUGUUGAAAUAUAUAAAAAAAAUCAUAUCAACAAUCAUUUUAUGUAUAUAUUAGUGCAAACGACAAAUAACCACAAAAUUCAAAAUAUAAUUAUACGAGGGGCGACUACGUAUAUUAGAGCGAACAAAAGUCGACUGGGCGUGAGGCCAAUCUGCCACUCUGCAGGAUUUAAGCCACCAAGAUUCACAUCAUUGUCUACCGAGGCGUUGAUGAGUUCUUACGUCUCGUGCCACCACCCCUAUCUCUAAAUCCUGGCUUCGUCAUUGUGUAGCUGGAUCGGUCGACCCACCCUGUCUAGGUACAAUAAAUCUGGUUAAGGAAAGGAAAACAAUAGUAGGAUUGCAUAUACACUGUACGACUCAUGUUCCCUAAUGAGAAACCAGAUUCGAGCGUUUGUCAAUGAUAAACCAUAGAAUUCUCCUUUAACUGCAUUUUCUAAGAAUAAACAGCAUGACAUUUAUGGUGAUGCCAUCCUAUUACGAUAUCCUUUUCUUGGGGUCAAGGGCAACGUACGGUAUCCUCACUUAUCUGCCAUGCAUCUCUUUUUACCAUGGCCAUGAAGAUGCUCUGCCCUGUAUCACGGUAAGCCGAGAAAAGGGCUGAUGGAUGAGAAGAUAAUGCGCGGCCACGUAUCAUCACGGUAAGCCUUCUUUGCAGGUUGCACCACCUUGCUCGUCUAUGGACUCAGCUGCUAGUCAGCCUUUUAAUUGCCCAGAGCAAAUUAUACUUUGGUUCAUAUUUUAUUUCUAAAGUUUUAGUUUGCACGGCAACUUUUUAAUAUUUUCCGUUUGUACUCUCGAUUUAUAGUCAAUAAAGUCAUUUUCAUCCGUCGUUAGUAAUCCGUAAUCUGUUGAGAACGCAGCCUGUUGUGCUGGGUUUUUCUGUCUAGUAGGUUUUUGAACGUACAGGUUUUCCUAAUUUCCUUUGUGUUUCAUCCCGAUAUGACGGACAAAAAAGUAUCUGCAUACACGUCGCUUCCUAGUUCCUUCGGUCUCAAGAUUCUGGAAACAAUGUAUACGUACGUCAGUAACAUAUAUACUGAAUGAUAACAAUGUAUAUUUCUGUGUGCUUCGUGCUUCGCAGGCUCGCAGCUAAGCGAAGAAACAAGGCAGAACAAAUAUGGCCUGCCUGAGCCACAACCUCCCAGUUUUCAUCCACUUGCUACUACUAAUCUCUUUCUGCAGAUGCGAUGACCAGUUGAGACAUGCGAAGCGACUAAUCUCUCCUAGCGACAUGCUCAUCUCCAAAGGUGGAGACUUUGCGCUCGGAUUCUUCUCCCCGGCCACCUCCAACCAGAGCUUAUUCCUUGGUAUAUGGUAUCACAAUAUCUCCGAGCGCACCUAUGUUUGGGUUGCCAACCGCGACGACCCGAUCGCUGCAUCUUCAUCCGCGACGCUCUCCAUCAGCAACAAUUCUGCUCUUGUAUUGUCAGAUUCCAAAGGCCGCACCCUAUGGACGACGAUGGCAAGUCCCAACAGUAUUGUCACCGAAGACGACGGAGUUUACGCGGUGCUGCUCGACUCAGGAAAUUUGGUUCUUCGGCUAUCGAACAAUACAACCAUAUGGCAAAGCUUUGAUCAACCAACUGAUACCAUUCUGCCCAACAUGAAGUUUUUAGUGAGAUCCUACGGACAAGUCGCCAUGCGGUUCAUCGCUUGGAAGGGCCCAGAUGACCCAUCCACCGGGGAUUUCUCCUUCAGCGGCGAUCCCACGUCAAACUUUCAGAUCUUCAUCUGGCACGAGACAAGGCCAUAUUACCGUUUCAUUCUGUUUGAUAGUGUCUCGGUGUCCGGUGCAACAUACUUGCACAACAGCACCUCUUUUGUCUAUAAAACAGUCGUGAACACUAAGGAUGAGUUUUACCUCAAGUACACAAUCUCUGAUGAUUCACCAUACACGCGCGUCAUGAUUGACUACAUGGGCAACUUUAGGUUCAUGAGUUGGAACAGCAGCUUGUCCUCAUGGACUGUCGCAAAUCAACUCCCAAGGGCCCCUGGCUGCGAUACCUAUGGCUCGUGUGGCCCAUUCGGCUACUGCGACCUCACGUCGGCCGUCCCAAGUUGCCAAUGCCUCGAUGGGUUUGAGCCUGUUGGCUCCAAUUCUUCUUCAGGAUGCCGGAGAAAGCAACAAUUGAGAUGUGGAGAUGACCAUUUUGUGAUCAUGUCUAGAAUGAAGGUUCCUGACAAGUUCUUGCAUGUCCAGAACAGAAACUUCGACGAGUGCACGGACGAGUGUACCCGCAACUGCUCGUGCACGGCCUACGCCUACACCAACUUGACCGCAACCGGCACCAUGUCCAACCAGCCAAGGUGUUUGCUUUGGACAGGGGAGCUUGCCGACGCGUGGAGGGACAUCAGGAACACCAUUGCUGAGAACCUGUACCUCCGGUUGGCCGAUUCUACUGGUAUGCCCACCCUUUUUCCCCUGCGACGAUAGAAUAGCUCUUAGAUUAGCAGUCCUGAAUUUUGUUCACUUGUGUUGAUAGGACACACUUCAAACUCAACAGAAAGAAAAAAGAAUCUAGUGAAGGUGGUAGUCUAAAUUUAGCAUGCCUGUUUUUGAACACGACCACCAGGUUACUAUCUCCCACAAGCUUGCAAGCUACUGUAUGUUUGACGCUGUAACUUCUGUUCACCCACAUUCUUCACAGGGUCAAAUUCUACAGUAAACAGAAAGAAGAAGAGGCACAUGGUGGUAAAUAUUGUACUCCCAGCUAUAGUGUGCCUACUAAUACUCACAGCGUGCAUAUAUCUUGUCAGUAAAUGCAAGUCAAGAGGUACUAUAAGCAGUAGGACCUGCUUAAUUGCAAAGCGUGCAUAUAUCUUGUCAGUAACUGUAAGUAUUGACAUUGUUGAUUUUACUAUAAGGCGUCCGACAAAACAAGGAAAAAACGAAAAGACCUGUCAUUCAACAGUUGAGCACUAUUCAUGAUUUGUGGGAUCAAAAUCUGGAAUUUCCAUGUAUUAGCUUUGAAGACAUCACUGCUGCAACAGACAGUUUCCAUGACACCAACAUGCUUGGAAAAGGAGGUUUUGGCAAAGUAUAUAAGGUGAUAUAUAAUUUUACCUUGUCAUUCUGUCAAUGAUAUGAGGAAUAGCGAUGUCAUUUACUCCUAUUACUUUAAUAAUGAUGAAAUCACACAGGGAACAUUGGAGGAUGGCAAGGAAAUUGCUGUUAAAAGGCUCAGCAAGUGUUCUGAGCAAGGGAUGGAGCAGUUCAGAAAUGAACUGGUUCUUAUUGCCAAACUGCAACACAAAAACUUAGUUAGACUUCUUGGUUGCUGUAUUCAUGGAGAUGAGAAGCUGCUUAUUUACGAAUACUUGCCCAACAAAAGCUUAGAUAAAUUCCUUUUCAGUAUGUUCGACCAAUCCAAAGAAAUACUCUUGCUUGGUUAAUUAUUUGUUUGAUUCUACUAUCCUAACUGUGUUCUGGGCAGAUCAUACAACAGAGGCUACACUUGAUUGGCUGACAAGGUUCAACAUUAUCAAAGGGGUAGCAAGAGGACUUCUUUAUCUCCAUCAAGAUUCAAGAAUGAAGAUAAUUCAUAGAGAUCUCAAAGCAAGCAACAUACUGCUCGAUGGAGAGAUGAACCCCAAAAUAUCGGAUUUUGGUAUGGCGAGGAUAUUUGGAGGCAAUGAGCAACAAGAAAGUACUAGACGAGUUGUUGGGACAUAGUAAGUAACUUCUGCUCUUGCCAACCAAAAUUAUUCAAAUACCCAGGUUCUGGAAAUUAUUAAACUUCUUUCUUAUUCAAAUAGUGGUUACAUGUCACCUGAAUAUGCAAUGGAAGGCACCUUUUCAGUCAAGUCCGACACAUAUAGCUUUGGUAUUUUGCUUCUAGAAAUUGUAAGUGGAUUAAAGAUCAGCUCACCUCAUCAUCUUGUGAUGGAUUUUCCAAACCUUAUAGCUUACGUAAGUGUUGCCGGUACCCAAUGCUUCAAAAUUUAACAAUCAAAGAACAAACAUAACAUUGCCAGAACAAAUAUUGAAGUUAUUCUCUUGUUUCAGGCAUGGAACUUAUGGAAAGAUGGAAGACAAAGGGAUUUUGUGGACAAAUCAAUUUUGGAGAGCUGUUCCCUCAGCGAAGUUUUUAAAUGCAUCCAUAUUGGACUCAUGUGUGUUCAGGACAGCCCAAAUGCUAGGCCACUGAUGUCAUUCGUUGUGUCUAUGCUGGAGAACGAGGACAUGCCACACCCAAUUCCAACACAACCUAUAUAUUUUGUGCAGAGGCAUUAUGAAUCAGAAGAACCAAGAGAAUACUCAGAUAAAUCUGUUAAUAAUGUGAGUCUGACUAUACUAGAAGGCCGCUGAAUAAAUGUUUUAGCAUAAGCUCUAAACAGAUGGAUGGUUGUAUAGUACAUUAGUACGGAAUACUUUCUCCGUUUCACAAUGUAAGUCAUUCUAGCAUUUUUCAUAUUCAUAUAGAUGUUAAUGAAUCUAAAUAGAUAUAUAUGUCUAGAUUUAUUAACAUCAAUAUGAAUGUGGGAAAUGCUAGAAUGACUUACAUUGUGAAACGGAGGGAGUAGUAAACAAUGAACUGAAAGAUAUUGGAAAGAAUGCAUUCCGUAGGUGGUUGUGCGCUUGUGCUACUUGUUUUUUUCUCAUCUGCUUUGCUCUAUCAAUAUAUUAGGAAGAGCUAAUUUAUGUUCAAAAAUUGAAUAGAUACUCCUCUAACAGAAUAAUGAUUAGAGAUCCACACAAGUGAUCAUUUGCCAUGCGUCUUUUCUUUUGUGAAAUAUAUUGAGCAGGUAUUUGAAAGGUCAUCUAAUUAAGGAUGGAAGAAUCUAUCCAAGGCGAAGUGCUCCAGCAGCGCUUGGGGUCUAUGUUUAUGUGUGGCGGGUGGUUCCAAUCCCCGCUCUACCUCACGGGCUUGACUCAUGCAUGAAUCAGCCAUCCCCAGAUGCCCAACCUAGAACCAAAAAUUGGAGGCUUGGGUCGAAAAAUUAGUUAAAAUCAUGCCUGCCCGUGCUGGGUUCAUACCGUCUGCACCCUGGACGCGCCGCCGCUCGCCACACGCUCUCCCUCCUCUCCGGCGCGCCCGUGCAGCGGAUGAUGUCGCGACUCGCGAAUGGCCGUGCCGCACGGAGUCGGAUCAACUCAAUCCGCAUCGAAAAAUCGGAGGUUUGGGGGGGAGGGGGGGGGUGUCCGGAACCUGGCCUGCUCCGUGAGCUCGCGCAACCGCCACCGCCUGCAUCCUCGAUCCGGCCUCCCCGUCCUGGCCGGCGGCCGCUCGCUCUCCCGCCUCGCCGCGCCAUCGUCGGCAACAUCUCCGCCACUUCGCCCGCGCCGUCGGCUUGCAGUGGCGGAUCGCCUCCUCGG